AUGUGAAGAACAAAAUCCCCGAUAUCUUGAAAAGUUUAGAGAAGAAACAGUAUCGUUUAGACAUACUUCUUACAGAAGAAAAUGUUAAACAAGGUUCCAAUGUCUACAACGCUACAAAAAUUUCCAAACCACUGGAAAUUACAGACAACCAUGAUCCCAAUCCAAAUGUCCAUGCUGUCAAUGAGCAAACUGAGAUUACCAAUGUAAGCAAACUUCCACCAUAAACUAUCUUAUGUUUCAUACAAACUCACACAAGAAAUGUUUUUAUUCAACAGGAUAUCAGUAAAGAGCCAACCUCUAACAUUAACAGCCCAGCAACGGAAAAAUCUACAAACAAGACCAAAUCAAGGCUCAAAGCUGAUAUCAUAGAAACACCCAUUAAGAAGCCAGAUUUGAAGAAAGUAAAGCUUGAGAAAAAAUGAUGACGAAGAACUACAAUCCCAGCAAACCUGUUUGAAGAAUCUUUUGUUUGAAUGCACUUGCCUAUGUGUUUAAAGAAUCUUUUGUUUGAAUGCACUUGCCUAUGUGCAAGUUAACUGUUAUGCUGUCCCACUUUUGCAUUGCUGGACUUUAUUCAAUUCGUAACGUCGACAAUUGUAAUAUAUUCUACCACUGAAAUUAUUCCCAGGAACUUUAUUUUCCUAUUAA